rnacentral:rRNA from 1 species
UACGUAGGGCGCGAGCGUUGUCCGGAAUUAUUGGGCGUAAAGAGCUCGUAGGCGGUUUGUCGCGUCUGCUGUGAAAACUGGAGGCUUAACCUUCAGACGUCGAUGGAAACCGUGCGGCUAGAGUCCGGAAGAGGAGAAUGGAAUUCCUGGUGUAGCGGUGAAAUGCGCAGAUAUCAGGAAGAACACCCGUGGCUAAGGCGGUUCUCUAGUACGGUACUGACGCUGAGACGCGAAAGCGUGGGGAGCGAACAGG